GUGAAUCAUCAAAUUUUUGAACGCAUAUGGCACUCUCUGGUAUUCCGGAGAGUAUGCCUAUUUGGGGGUCAUUUGAAAUAAUAUAAAUUUUGAGAUUUUUCUGGCAUCAAAAUUGGGACGGUCCAGCUUUCGUGUGGUGGUAGCCUAAAAUGAAAGACAAGCUCUUUUCUUGGGUUGCGUGAUAUUUUUAGUUAACUCGUGACUUGACAUGGAAUCUUCGAGC
rnacentral:misc_RNA from 1 species